UCGAGGGGCAGCGAGAGUGAUAGCAAUAUUACUUGUCGGCGACCGGCGCACGGGUGCGUAACGCGUAUGCAACCUACCAUCAACAGGGGGAUAACACUGAGAAAUUGGUACUAAUACCCCAUAAUAUCUCAUGCGGCAUCGCAUGGGGUUGAAAACUCCGGUGGUUGAUGAUGGGCAUGCGUUGUAUUAGCUGGUUGGUGAGGUAACGGCUCACCAAGGCGACGAUGCGUAGGGGUUCUGAGAGGAAGGUCCCCCACACUGGAACUGAGACACGGUCCAGACUCCUACGGGAGGCAGCAGUGAGGAAUAUUGGUCAAUGGCCGUAAGGCUGAACCAGCCAAGUAGCGUGAGGGAAGACUGCCCUAUGGGUUGUAAACCUCUUUUAUGCGGGGAUAAAGGUGUCCACGUGUGGAUGUUUGCAGGUACCGCAUGAAUAAGGACCGGCUAAUUCCGUGCCAGCAGCCGCGGUAAUACGGAAGGUCCGGGCGUUAUCCGGAUUUAUUGGGUUUAAAGGGAGCGUAGGCCGGUCUUUAAGCGUGCCGUGAAAUUUUGUGGCUCAACCAUGAGAGUGCGGCGCGAACUGGAGACCUUGAGUGCGCGGAAGGCAGGCGGAAUUCGUGGUGUAGCGGUGAAAUGCUUAGAUAUCACGAAGAACCCCGAUUGCGAAGGCAGCCUGCCGCAGCGUUACUGACGCUGAAGCUCGAAAGCGCGGGUAUCGAACAGGAUUAGAUACCCUGGUAGUCCGCGCGGUAAACGAUGGAUGCCCGCUGUCGGCGAUAUACAGUCGGCGGCCAAGCGAAAGCGUUAAGCAUCCCACCU
rnacentral:rRNA from 1 species